rnacentral:misc_RNA from 1 species
GCUCUGUGUGACGCGUUGAUGGGUAAAGGAAUCGUCGAACGGACACAUGCCCUCUUACACACCGUACGUGGCGCACACUAAGAGGGUGACGGCUCGCAUGCGCGCGCGCAUGCACAAACAGUCGUUCACAAACGCUAUCCUAGCUUCAACACAAGCGGAGCGGACGGAUUUGUCGAGAGUAGCGGACGCGCGUCUGCGUGAGUUGACGGCACUCCGCGCAGACCAUCAGCGCACCUUCGACCCUAUUUUCAAGCAGAAAGCGCUGAACCUUCUGCAGACCUUACCGCUCAAGGCCGCGGCGGAUGAUCCACAUUUUACUUACACGUUGGGUGCGUUGCGGGUGUGCGGGUACUUCAGUGCAACGCAGUCCCCGGCAACCUUCAACUUGCUUAACCACGCCACACGGCACACCUUCCUCCUCGACGCGUUCAGCUUCUAUCAGCUUUUCCUCGCAUUGGAAGAGAUGCGUCAUCCUCAGACGGCGGAGAUACUGUCAAUCGUGCUACCCCGUGUGAUGGAGGUGGCGACUGACUUCACUGAGGGAGAGGCGCGCCUGCUGCUCGAUCUUUACUUCAAACACAACUUGCUUACCAAGGAGCUCAGCGAGAGGCUUGCAGGCGUGAUCACAGGCUCGGUGAACGACUUGAGUGGAAAGGAUUUGAUCAGCGCUGUGUCGGCAGUGCCAAACAUGGCGUUUGAACAGAUUUCGCGCCGAUUUCUGGAAGCUGCGACACCGCGCCUUUGCCGCACCCUGCGAGAGGCCACAGAGCAGGUGCAACUUUACAAGGCAACGUACCUGGAGCACGCCGGUCGAGGCGCCGCCGCCUCGGAUGCAGCGCGGCCGAUGCUGAGACGCGACGCCGACGGUCAGCCGCCGCAGAAUCCCGAUAUGGAGACACCCACUGAGAGGACUCUGCGACGCAGGAAGGAAGAGGAGUGGCGCCAGCUCCUGAUCGAUCAAAUUUACGAAGGGCUCAGCUUGCACCGAGAGUUGCAGAAAAGCAUAACGUGGCUGUGCUGGGCUCCGCGCCCACUCCUGAAUGAGUUGGUGCGGUGCGCGCUGAUCUUCAGCGAGCCGCUCCUCGCUGACGCAGCGGAGCAGCUACCUGCAGCUCUCAAAGAUAAGGCAACUGGUGCGAGUGCCUCCUCUGUCGCGAUAUCUGCGAACGGUGAGCUGGCGGCGAUCGUGGCGGAGCGCGAAAAUUAUGCGCGCGACCUGCCGCAGGUGCGACGCCGCAGCCUCUGCCACUGCCUGAAAAUGCUUCAUUUCACGUCUUACAGACACCUCCCUGCCCUCCGCCUCCUCUCUGCGCGGAUCGCGGCAACGAAGGAUGUCUUGGGCAUCGUAUCUCCGCUGGUGCUGGCGCGUGAGCUUUCACAGGCUGUAGAGGCUAUUGCCUUUUUUUGUGCGACAGACUGUGCCCCAGCUGUGACGGCAAUAAUCGAUGACAUCCUGGAGCACAUCGAGCCUGUCACGAAUUCGCCUGCGCUACUGAAUCGUUUUCACGCGUUCUCCACAGAAGAGCUGAAGCUUGUGGAGCGGGUGGUGCUGCGCGUGCUGCUCAGCUGUACACGGUUUCUCUCCACGCGCAGCUCGGAGAAGGCGGAAAAGAACGCACUGCAGAGAGCACCUGCGCAGGAGGAGGCGAUACGCGCCAUCCUGGCCCAAGCCACGGCGCUUGCUAUCUCGCCCAUAACACGCGCCUACCUCGCGCUCGGGUUGCGGCUCAUGCACUCUAGCAAGGCGCAUGGAGAGAGGGGCGCCAAACAAGUGCAGUGCUUUAUUGGCACCAUGCACCUGCUCUAUGUGACCACCGUUAUACUGGCCGUGUCUUCGCAGGCAGGUGCAGCACCGACGGCGCCGGAUCCGGCCGCACACGAAGUCCUGCGCGCCAUCCUUAGGCAGCUCGUGCCGUGGGCGCAGACGAUGGCGACGAUGCAGGCCGGUGAGAUGCCGGAGGAGGCAGCGGCGGAGAUGGCGAAGGCGCUGGCCUUGCUUAAGGAGCAUCCGGAGAUCAUGGACACUCCGGCCGGGGCUACGACGCAGAGAGAGAACAAAGAAGAAUAGCGUUGACACGCGCGCAAGUUUGCUUGCCGGUGUCUAGGAACUUGGCUUCGUGGUCUCUCUGUCACACACACACACACUCACACACACGACUACUAGCAUGCAGCGCCAUUCUGUUGGUGCCCUCCAGAGUCCGCCCGCAUCUGCCUCUCUCUGUCGCUGUCACCUUCCCUCCCUUCCCCGUGCACGCUGCUUCGCCGGACCCUAUGCAUGAAAGAAAUAAACCGAGAAGGAAAGGCCGGCAUAUGGCAGUAGGCGCUGCGGGCUUUCCUCGGUGUUUCACUGGCGUUGAUCUCUUUGCCCAGCUGCACAAACUCGCCCGCGCAUUUAGACAGAGACACGGCCACUAGGAGAGACAUGCACGAUUUCAUGCCAUCUUACAAGCGAGCCAACGAAGCCACCGGGGCUGCUUAGGUGGGGGUGGGGGUAGGCGUGGCAGUGGCCGCUGUAGCGAGCACGCUUGAGCCCAUGGGAGCUACAAGACCUGUGCUUGCAUAUCUCGCUGCUGCUGCUGCUGUUGCACGAGAACAGGACGCUUUUUUCUUUGUAU